rnacentral:rRNA from 1 species
AUUGAACGCUGGCGGCAUGCUCUACACAUGCAAGUCGAACGGUAACAGGGUGCUUGCACCGCUGACGAGUGGCGAACGGGUGAGUAAUGCGUCGGAACGUGCCGAGUAGUGGGGGAUAACGCAGCGAAAGUUGUGCUAAUACCGCAUACGUGCUGAGGUAGAAAGUGGGGGACCUUCGGGCCUCACGCUAUUCGAGCGGCCGACGUCUGAUUAGCUAGUAGGUGAGGUAAAGGCUCACCUAGGCGACGAUCAGUAGCGGGUCUGAGAGGAUGAUCCGCCACACUGGGACUGAGACACGGCCCAGACUCCUACGGGAGGCAGCAGUGGGGAAUUUUGGACAAUGGGCGAAAGCCUGAUCCAGCCAUGCCGCGUGUCUGAAGAAGGCCUUCGGGUUGUAAAGGACUUUUGUCAGGGAGGAAAUCCCCAGCGUUAAUACCGCUGGGGGAUGACAGUACCUGAAGAAUAAGCACCGGCUAACUACGUGCCAGCCGCCGCGGUAAGAC